CACGUGGCAGCUGUGUCGCCUCGGGCAAUAAUCAUGAUUGGAGAAGCAGCGUGGCCCGGUGGGAAGAGCAUGGGCUUUGGAGUCUUACUAUUUCUAGUCGUGGGUUCGAAUCCCGCCUUCUCCUCCACGUGGCAGCUGUGUCGCCUCGGGCAAUAAUCAUGACUGGAGAAGCAGCUUGGCUCGGUCGUGGGUUCGAAUCCCGCCUUCUUCUCCACGUGGCAGCUGUGUCGCCUCGGGCAAUAACCAUAACUGGAGAAGCAGCGUGGCUCAGUGGAAAGAGCAUGGGCUUUGGAGUCUUACUAUUUCUAGUCGUGGGUUCGAAUCCCGCCUUCUCCUCCACGUGGCAGCUGUGUCGCCUCGGGCAAUAAUCAUGACUGGAGAAGCAGCUUGGCUCGGUCGUGGGUUCGAAUCCCGCCUUCUUCUCCACGUGGCAGCUGUGUCGCCUCGGGCAAUAACCAUAACUGGAGAAGCAGCGUGGCUCAGUGGAAAGAGCAUGGGCUUUGGAGUCUUACUAUU